UUCCUCAUGCGUUGGCGGAUCCCCAACCCACCACCUCAACUAACGUGACCGAAGCAACCGCAUAAAAAAACUCGUAGCUCACUACCCCCACUAACCCCAACCCCCGCCUCCCACCCCACCCCACACCUUUUUCUACUCACUCGCUCGACACCCCCAAACCCCACCUGCAACUGCCCCGCACCGCUCGCCCCCAACUAUGAGCUAACACUGCCCGCCCUGGCCACCACCCUAGCCCGCCUGCCCCCCGGCCACCACAUCCUGCCCCUCACCCCGUCCUUCCUCUCCGAUGGCUCAUCUCGCCGAAGGCUGGCUACUCCAACCGCCCUUGCCCAUCCCAUCUUCGGAUCCAGGGCCCCAUCAUUGGAUUCACCCCAUGGCGACAUGGAUCUGGUCGUCCCUGAAACGGAUCCGGCCACUGACCUCUACUCCGGUGACCACGGCAAUCUCCAGCGCCCCAUGUGCCCUCCCCUCGCGGUAUCUGGCUUUAUGGUGGUCGACGGCCCCACCCCACCACCAUCUUCCCAAACCCCGCCACCCACCACAACCUGUUGAGAUCUAGCUGAUGAACUGCGGGGACAACACCCACCAUGGCUACGCCCCUAGCCUGCCACAACCUUGCUCUGUGAUUCGUUGCAUGGGUCGCCGUCGAGAACAACUCCAAUGUUUGAGAAAAAGAUAGGUGAUGCAGUCCGCUGGCCUCCUCCUAUGGCAAAUUUUGCAAAAAAAUAAGUACACAACAGUUCGUUCUGAAAUUUUGUAGUGUAUGCAGCUCACCGACACUUUUACUACAGGUCUCUAUAGGUCUUGUAUGCAGUUCUGCCCAUGCUGGGCUGCAGAUCAAUCGGGCUUUGAUGACCACCAAUAGCGGGAGUACCACAGGAGGAGCUACAAAAGCCGUCCACUUCUGCGUCUCCGGAGAUCCCUUAUUGCUAGCAGACCAUGAAAGAAUGUGGCGGUUGUGUAUUUCAGAUUUUUUUUUACCUUUUUCACAUGUGAUUGCUCUACUCUAUGUUUUACAGUUUAGUUCAUAGUCGAGUGCUUGGGGAAAAAUUAACAGUGCCACAUGUGGGUUUGGAGCGUCUUAAAAUUCGUCGAAUGCAUCAUUGUAGUUUUACAUUGGAGCAUAUUAUUCUGCUACAUUUGUUCUCUCGUUAAAUUUGCAAAAAAUAAUGUAUAAGAAAAA